rnacentral:lncRNA from 1 species
UCCCCUUUAUCUGCUAGGGAGACUCCUAUGCAUUCAUCAAGGUCCAGCUCAAAUCUGGCCACCCUCAGUGGCUUUUCCUGACGCUCUCAGCAGAACCAAACCUCCAGCUUUGUUAUGUGUUGGUGUUGCAGUACACACAGGACAGCCCUCAUCUCCUUGAGAACAAGAACAAAGCCUGACUUAUCCCAGCAGCUUGCACAGUGCUGGCGGGGCACACUGUAAGUGCUCAGCUGAUGGUGGUUGAAUUGCUCUGAAUGGAUUGUGAGCAAGAGACCAGCAGGGGUGGAGGCUGACAGGAGAGACAGCGCCUGCCUCUGUACUCUAAAGUGCCAGGGAACUCGUGGUGAUUUGGAUCCAGUUCAGGCACCUGAAGCCCAGUUAAAGAGAAGGAAUCUUCAGUCUUUUCUCUCUCAGGAUCUCAUUCUUGCCCAGGCUGGAGAGCAAUGGCAUGAUCUUGGAUCGAUGCAGCCUCAAUCUCUACAAAGGAAUUUUACUACAAUGAUUAAAGUUAGAGAUGCACAACAGAAAGUCCACAUCAACUGAUUUCAUUACACCUGUUACAUUUCAAUUCACUCCAGGGAAAUGGUAGUCAUUAAUAUUAUAUACCAAAUAUCUCUGGUUGCUAUCCCUGGGGGUGCUUUGCACUGGCCUGAACCCUUUGAAGUUAGAUGUGACCAUGUGACUUUCUUAAGCCAAUGAAACAUGAAUAAAUCUGAUGUGUAUUAUUACAGAUAGAAGCUUUAAGAGCCAGUGACCUGCCCACCACAUUCUUUCCCCCGGCCCUGGCAAUUGUGCAAGCUUGUUUAUAGGAAAAGGUAGCCUCUGCCAGCUGGGGCCCCUGUGUGACCAUGAUGAGUAGGGCCCUCCCUAGCAAUUGUAGUUGGACUUGUAGCAUGAAUGAGAAAUCCAGUCCUGAGAUUGAAUUGGUUGUUACUGCAGUAUAAUCUAACCUCUCCUGUCUGAUAAGAAAUCAGAUGUUUCUGUAUAUAUCAACUUCCAGUAAAAGAAAAAAUCAUAAGAUUCUGCUCAAACUAAGUGACAAUUUAAAAAUAAGAGCAAGAUGCAUAUUCAGUAUAUCUUUAAGGCUUGAAGAAAUAGAAAAUAUUUUAAAAAGCCCAGGUAAAGCUGACAAGGCAAUUCAAUGGGGAAAGAAUCGUCUUCAACAAAUGGGGCUAGGACAAUGGGCUAUCCACAUGAAAAAGAAUGAAGUUGAACCCCUG